AACGAACGCUGGCGGCAUGCCUAACACAUGCAAGUCGAACGAGACCUUCGGGUCUAGUGGCGCACGGGUGCGUAACGCGUGGGAACCUGCCCUUAGGUUCGGAAUACCCCCCCGAAAGGGGUGCUAAUACCGGUUAUUGUCUCCGGCCAAAAGAUUUAUCGCCUUUGGAUGGGCCCGCGUUGGAUUAGCUAGUUGGUAGGGUAAAAGCCUACCAAGGCGACGAUCCAUAGCUGGUCUGAGAGGAUGAUCAGCCACACUGGGACUGAGACACGGCCCAGACUCCUACGGGAGGCAGCAGUGGGGAAUAUUGGACAAUGGGCGAAAGCCUGAUCCAGCAAUGCCGCGUGAGUGAUGAAGGCCUUAGGGUUGUAAAGCUCUUUUACCCGGGAUGAUAAUGACAGUACCGGGAGAAUAAGCGCCGGCUAACUCCGUG
rnacentral:rRNA from 1 species